AAUACUUAGCAACGAUCGGCCAAUACCAACCGACGCUACCCCCUACAUUUUCUUAUUCUUCUGUCAGUGAGGAAACGACUAAAUUGUGGUGCUACUCCUGUCAACAUUGGCGCCUGCAGCAGCCAUCACGUCGCCGUGCCCUUUCCCCCAUUUAAGGGAUUUUUCGAAUCUUUUUAACUGUUGCCAUAACAAGGGUAUAUGAAUUCAAAUUCAAAAUUACAACCAUUUUCCCCUAAUUUCCAUUUAUUUAUUCAUCUCUUUGGGUCACAAUGAGGGGGCAUUACGUUUUAGAGAGGAGCUAUGGGGGAGUUUAAAAAAAAAGGAAAUCGAUAGGGAGACGAUUUCAUUCUUUAAUACAUGCUUCGAAUGAUUUUUGAAGUUUAAGGUAGGGAGUUGAGAAAAAACAUAAUUUUAAGUUUUCAAGUUCAUUAAAAUCUCACUUGUGGUGGUGGAAGUUUCUUCGUGGACAAGCUCGUGCCCAGUUGGCUGCUCCGAGAAAGGAGUCUAUUUGACUCAAAUCCUUGCAUUUCCCUAGUUGAAUGCCUCUCGAGUUAGCCCCUAGUCACUAUUCUAUGACCAAAGUUAAUAUACCGUGCAAGAGAAGCAAAAUAUAGGUGUCGAAAAGCUGAAAAGGAGGCUGAUAUACAGCCCGUAUACAUUUGGGUAUACGUGAUAUACAGGUUCAGUGCAACAAAUAUGCGGCCAUAAAUGGAAAUGUAGGUUGCAGGAAUUAAAGGGGACUGUAUGGUUAAUAUACAGUUCGAUACAGAAAAAAAGGGCUAAGAAAUUACAUGUAUACAACGUUAUACAUUUAUUGUAUACACGGGGUUUCAAAGGGUAGAAAUAAGGCUGAAGCCCAAAUCAGCUGCAGCAGGCCCAAGAAGCGCCCAAAUUCUUCCUCUCUUAUUCAUAAAUUAUUUAAUUGUGGUAUUUGUGUUUUUUUAUUCAA